AGCUCAAAAUUAGACUUGUAAUCUAUAAAUACAUGAUGUAAGACAUAAAAUAGAGAGAGAUUACAUAGAUUAGACUAGAUUAAACACUCCUUUAGAUUAGAACAUAACCCUAGUUCUUAUUAGUUUUGGGGAUUGAAGUAACUUGGAGACCAUUGAAGAUUCAAAGCAAGAGCAAGAGGGGAGCAUCAGAUUUACUGACAACAGAUUCUAU
rnacentral:lncRNA from 1 species